CAGUAGCCGCGGUAAUACGUAGGGUGCAAGCGUUAAUCGGAAUUACUGGGCGUAAAGCGUGCGCAGGCGGUUUGUUAAGACAGAUGUGAAAUCCCCGGGCUCAACCUGGGAACUGCAUUUGUGACUGGCAAGCUAGAGUGUGGCAGAGGGGGGUGGAAUUCCGCGUGUAGCAGUGAAAUGCGCAGAUAUGCGGAGGAACAUCGAUGGCGAAGGCAGCCCCCUGGGCCAACACUGACGCUCAUGCACGAAAGCGUGGGGAGCAAACAGGAUUAGAUACCCCUGUAGUCCCUGUCUCUUAUAC
rnacentral:rRNA from 1 species